AAGGAAAGUCUAUGAUUUAAUAUAUGUUUAAGAUUUAAAUCUAAAUUUAGGUAUUAUAUAGAAAAUAUAAAGAAGUUAAUAGGCGGGGUGGAUGCAUACUUUGUCAGCCUAGUUAGAUUAAAUAACAUAAAAUAACUUUAUUCUGGAAAAUCAAGCCCAUAUAAAUCCUUUUUUUAGUAAGAAAUUAUUACAGGAUAUAGCUUAA
rnacentral:RNase_P_RNA from 1 species